UACGUAGGGUGCAAGCGUUGUCCGGAAUUAUUGGGCGUAAAGAGCUCGUAGGCGGUUUUGUUGCGUCGGCUGUGAAAUCCCCGAGGCUCAACCUCGGGUCUGCAGUCGAUACGAGCAAACUAGAGUGUUGCAGGGGAGACUGGAAUUCCUGGUGUAGCGGUGAAAUGCGCAGAUAUCAGGAGGAACACCGGUGGCGAAGGCGGGUCUCUGGGCAACAACUGACGCUGGAGGAGCGAAAGCGUGGGGAGCGAACAGG
rnacentral:rRNA from 1 species